rnacentral:rRNA from 1 species
UCUGGUUGAUCCUGCCAGAGGUUACUGCUAUCGAGGUUCGACUAAGCCAUGCGAGUCGAAUGUAGCAAUACAUGGCGAACUGCUCAGUAACACGUGGACAACCUGCCCUUAGGUUGGGUAUAAACCCGGGAAACUGGGUAUAAUACCCGAUAGGUCUCGAUUGCUGGAAUGCAUCGAGAUUUAAAGCUCCGGCGCCUAAGGAUGGGUCUGCGGCCUAUCAGGUAGUAGUGGGUGUAGCGUACCUACUAGCCUACGACGGGUACGGGUUGUGAGAGCAAGAGCCCGGAGAUGGAUUCUGAGACACGAAUCCAGGCCCUACGGGGUGCAGCAGGCGCGAAAACUUUACAAUGCUGGCAACAGCGAUAAGGGAACCUCGAGUGCCAGGUUACAAAUCUGGCUGUCGAGAUGCCUAAAAAGCAUUUCAUAGCAAGGGCCGGGCAAGACCGGUGCCAGCCGCCGCGGUAACACCGGCGGCUCGAGUGGUAACCGUUAUUAUUGGGUCUAAAGGGUCUGUAGCCGGCCGGAUAAGUCUCUUGAGAAAUCUGGCAGCUUAACUGUCAGGCUUUCAGGAGAUACUGUCUGGCUCGAGGCCGGGAGAGGUGAGAGGUACUUCAGGGGUAGGGGUGAAAUCUUGUAAUCCUUGAAGGACCACCAGUGGCGAAGGCGUCUCACCAGAACGGACCUGACGGCAAGGGACGAAAGCUAGGGGCACGAACCGGAUUAGAUACCCGGGUAGUCCUAGCCGUAAACGAUACUCGCUAGGUGUCGGCCACGGUGCGACCGUUGUCGGUGCCGUAGGGAAGCCGUGAAGCGAGCCACCUGGGAAGUACGGCCGCAAGGCUGAAACUUAAGGGAUUUGGCGGGGGAGCACCACAACGGGUGGAGCUUGCGGUUUAAUUGGAUUCAACGCCCGGAA